AGACUCAAGUGUUUGGAAUAUUGGAGGUUGAUGUGCUCUCUGCUACCACUUCUCUUCCAGCCUUCUGCUGAGGCUAUAUGAGAGAAUUCUAGGACUUUCCAAGAGCUAGUUUUACAGCCAAGUAAUUUUACCAAGGACCAGGGGAAACUAGUCAUUCUGACUUUCACCAUUCUGACCAGAGCAUCGACUACUGAAUUAUCAAUUUCACAUAAGAACUGAAUUCUUCCAGGCUUGAUCUAGCACCCUGAUAAAAUCAAUCUAUCCUGCCUUUAUCCAGACUCUGACUGCCAGAAAAUUUAGGAAGAUUUUGCAAUGGGAAUCUAGAACGGAUCCUUUCUAUCUCUGGAGACUAGUCAGUUAACUGGUCUUUCGCAUAGAUCAUCCAUGGGUUAGACCUGGGUCAGCUUUUUAGACUUAGAUAGGAGAAGGGCCUGCAGGAAGAUGAGACAAGGCUACGUUUCCAAAUUCACCACUGGUACCCAUCUAGAGAGAGAACACCUCACCCAAGAAGUAUGGUACAGACCUGGCCAAUAAUGGACAUCUCCACCUAUGUUCAGGAAAGACUUUUUUCUGGCUUUUUCCUACCAUUUCCAGAUGGUAAAAUAUUUCUAGUGCUGUGACAUAUUUAUUAUGACCCAAUCGUCUUGUCAAAUUCAUUGGUGGAUAAUUCCUAGAAAUCAGGGAAAGUCACCAAGUUGUAUUUACCUUCCCUUGACUGGUGGUAUUUCUAUCUUUGAUUCUUAGUACAGAGAAAGCAUGGAAUGAAGAGAAGUGAGUGUUCCUAUUGCUAGAAUCAUUUCAGAGGUGCACUACUAGGUACUUCGGGGAGUUCAAUUAAAAAAAGUUGAUGGAUCAAUAUGGAAGAAAAGGUAGAAGGUUAUUUGUAGUUAGGUACAUAUUAAGAAAUUGUACUUCCCUGAAUGAUGAGAGGAAUGAUGAUUAAAGGAAGAGGUGGAAUUUCCCGAAAUGGUGAAAUUCAUCUCUCAUCUGCCUUCCCCUUCUUUCCCCAUCCUGGCCCAUAGCACCAAGUCACUAGAAUUUAGGCAGCAUGUGGAAAAAGAAGUCCAUCUCUAAGGCAGAGUUGACUCGUUCAGCUUUCUCCUGUAUGGAGCAGUGGUGAUUCAUGCCUUCCUCCGCUGUCACACUGUCAGCAUCCGCUAAUCAUAGCCCCGUGAUCACAGGACUUGGGCACAUAAACAAUUUCCAGGAGGUUCAGAGCAGCCCAGGGACCUCGCAGGCAUAAACACCGGUUAUUCUGUAAUUCAUUACAUGCCCCUCCCCAUCAUCUUGACAUGUGCUUGAAAUAAUAGCUUUCCUUAAAACGUUUGAACAUGUUGGUGGACUAGAUCCUUUCACUGUCCUUGGUACACACAUUGUUGUCUUACUAAGUCUGCUUUUAAAUGGAACUCUUUGGCUGUCCUGCUGAAGCUCAGGGGGCGGGGGGAUGUGUUUCGUGAAGAAUAUCAAGAGGAUACAGUGAUGGGAUUUCAAACACAAAUUGGUUCUUCUUGUGCUUUGCAUGUAUAUGUUGUGAGAGGCGAGAGAGUGAGGCCCUUGAAUGCUAUUGUGAAGCAGACUGCAUAUAUUUGGUGCUUAAAUUUGUAUGUAUUUUUUUACACUAGUAAGUCAGGUCAUUUACCUCCCACUCUUCCUCAAACAGAUGUCUUUAGCAAACUUAAGUUCCUCCAGUCAGUCUGUUUAUUCAGCCUGAGGCAGGAAUCAAUAACUUCUAGUGACACUGACAGGAUUAGUUUCUAUAUUCAAUAAAUAUGUAUUUU
ensembl:lncRNA